GCAUGGCGCAAGAAAGAACAAAUGUCUGUUCACUAAAUAGGACCUGCGUAUUCCUAUAGGACAAAGGACAUUCUGGUUUAAGGAGACCCUUCCCCAGAAGAAGGAAGAAGAGAAGGAGAUAGAGAUGAUGGCUAGCAGAAAGGCUGACCACGAAGACCCACCUGGAGCUACCUGGAAGACAGUCACCUCACGCUCCAGGAAAUGCAGGGCCAUGGCUGCUCCUCCCCUGGCCCUGCACAAUGGGCCAGGAGGGAAGGAUUCAUCAAGGAAGUGAACUGACAACUCUGACAGUGGUGCUACCGAGAAGGCUUCAGAUUCCUCCACCACAGCAUGCGCUUCAGGGAGAGAGGACUUCUGGGAAGGGAUGGCAUCCAUCUCACGCAGAAAGGUAAGCCCUGUUCUUGGCUAGGGUGGCUGAUUUUCUGGACAGGGCUUUAAAUUCAUUGUUGG